GAUGAACGCUGGCGGCGUGCCUAAUACAUGCAAGUCGAGCGAACGGACGAGAAGCUUGCUUUUCUGAUGUUAGCGGCGGGCGGGUGAGUAACACGUGGAUAACCUACCUAUAAGACUGGGAUAACUUCGGGAAACCGGAGCUAAUACCGGAUAAUAUUUUGAACCGCAUGGUUCAAAAGUGAAAGACGGUCUUGCUGUCACUUAUAGAUAGAUCCGCGCUGCAUUAGCUAGUUGGUAAGGUAACGGCUUACCAAGGCAACGAUGCAUAGCCGACCUGAGAGGGUGAUCGGCCACACUGGAACUGAGACACGGUCCAGACUCCUACGGGAGGCAGCAGUAGGGAAUCUUCCGCAAUGGGCGAAAGCCUGACGGAGCAACGCCGCGUGAGUGAUGAAGGUCUUCGGAUCGUAAAACUCUGUUAUUAGGGAAGAACAUAUGUGUAAGUAACUGUGCACAUCUUGACGGUACCUAAUCAGAAAGCCACGGCUAACUACGUG
rnacentral:rRNA from 1 species